CACCCAGUCAGCAACGUUAGCAUAGGCCAGUGGUUCUCCACUGAGGAAAAUUGUGGCCCCGCCCCCACACUUUUUUUUUUUUUAGGUGCUGGGGAUCAAACCUAGGGCCUUGUGCAUAUGAGCAAGCACUCUACCAACUGAGCUAUAUCCCCAGCCGUUUGUGGCCCCUUUUGCCAGGGAACAUUGAACAAUUUCUGGAGGUACCGGGGAGAUCCUUCUGUGAUCAAGUCAAGGCUAGGGAUACUGCUAAACAUCCCAAAAUGCACAGGACAGUCCCACACAACAAGGACUUAUCCAGCCCAAAAUGUUAAUAGUGCUGCUGAGAAUGCUUGGGAUAGGCUGACAACCUUUUUUUUCCCCCCCGCUAGAGGGGUGUGAUUUUUUUUUGAUAAUUUUUUAAAUCAUGGUGUAUAAAAUUAAACACAUUGUUGUGCAUCUGUCUUCACCGUCCAUCUUCAGGACUUUUCGCCAUCCCAAACUGAAACUCUUCAUUUUAUCAUUUUUAGGUAUAUAAUUCAAAACAUAUCUGUUCUAUUACUGUCUCUGUGAAUUAGCCUACUCUAUAUAGUUUAUGUAAGUGAAAUUUAUUUGUAUUUUUGUUUUUGGAGUGCUUAGCAUAAUUUUCAAAGUGCAUCCAUAUUGUAUCAGAAUCUCAUUCCUUUUUAGGACUAAGUAGUAUUCCAUUGCAUGCAUAUACCACAUUUUGUUUAUCCUCUCAUCUUGGGUUGUUUCUACCUUUUUCUACAUUUUUCUUUUGAAAUGAACACUGGCAUACAAGUACCCAUUGGAGUUUCUGCUUUCAAUUCUUUUAGGAAUAUAUCUAGAAGUAGAAUUUCUGGGUCAUGUAAUUAAUUAUAUGUUUAGCUUCUGAAGAGCCACCAAGCCAUCUUGAUUGGCUUGGAGUGAAAAUCAAAAAAUCUAUAAAAAGACCUUUUUGGGAAAUUGGGGAGUUGAAUCUGAAUCAUUUAGGAAAUAAAUCUUGGGUACCAAUAAUGGUUGCAUGGUUCUAAGAGAAAUGUUAGAAUAUAAAUGCUGAAGGGAUAAAGUGUCAUGGCAUUAGGAAUUUAAUUUAAAAAUUGUUCAAAAAAUGUUUAAAUUGAGAGCUAGUGAGAAAGCAAAUGUGACAAAAUGUUCAUAACACCCGGAUCUACAUGAAGAGUAUAUAAGCAUUCAUGUACUAUUUCCAUUUAUCUUC
rnacentral:lncRNA from 1 species